UUUUUUUUUUUUUUGGGUUUUUUGUUUGUUUAUUCUCAAUCAUGGAUCAUAUCUGUCAUGAAUGUCAUUUUCAUCUUCCUAGUUAUCUUCUACUGUUUUUUAACAAUUGGGAUUUUUUUAAGUAAGGGGCUCAUUCAAAUUUCUUGUCAAUUUUUCUUUUGCAUUUUCUAUGAUUUUAAUUUGGAGCAUUUAUUUAGAAAUCAUAUACUUAAAUCCUUUGUGCUGAAAUUUUUCACUCUGAAUAACUUAUUUGGAUAAAGAUUAAUUCUUAAAAAAAUUAAAGAGAAUUGCAUUACUUAAUAUUCUCAGCAUAAGGCUGAUCAAUUUCAUCCCAUGAGCACCCCCUCAUUGCCCAAGUUCAGCAGGAAGUAGCCAGAAAGAUUAUCACCCCUUUUCCCACAAGCCUGGGGAAUGGACAUUGACAGUGGAGAGUUGUAAGCAAGUGACCAUUAGUGGUCCUGUUCAGCCAUUGGUCAGCAUUGCUGUGAGCCCUCCCCACAAGUGAGUGACAGUUAGUGAGUGACCAUUGACCCCUCCCCUUUCUCUGUAUGAAAGAAGCCUGAAUUCGGACUGAAGAAAGAUGGGUUUUUUUGAGACACUAGUCUGCUAUCUUCUUGGUCUGCUAGCUUUCCAAUUAAAGUCAUUACUCCCUGACCCAAUAACUUGUCUCUGAAUUUAUUGGCCUGUCGUGCAGUGAGCAGAGGGAACUUGGGUUCAGUAUCAAACAGCACAAAGGUUAAAGUAAGGUAAAAAGAACAGAUCUAGUAUGGAGUCAGAUUUGUUCUUCCCUGUUACAUAAGGACGAACACAUGGGUGACUGUACUUACUCUUUUCUGGUACGUCCAGAUAUUUAAAACCACUACACAAGCCCACACAUGGCCUUGAACAAUUCAUUGCACUUUUGUUGGUUUCUCCUUUUCUUUUUCCAUAGCUCACUUCUCUUUUUCCUGUGCUCUGUCAAAGAUGAAAUGGUGUAUAUAUCUCAUCUCUUCUUGAGAGGGCUUGUCCCUCUUUGGAAUUCAGGUCAUUUGGUUGUCUUGCUACUUGAGUUUUCAGAUGUACUCAAGAAAGCUAGGCUUUUGUAGAUAACCUGGCUUUUUUCUCCUUGUGAGAGUAAGAGUGUGUUUUUUACAGCUCGUUAUCUUUUCUGUAAAAACAGAAAUCUUUAAGGACUUUUAAAAAUAUGACUUGAUUAAGGCAUAAAGGUAUUUACAUAUCAUAUAAUUCCCUCAUCUCAAGUGUACAGUUGAACCCUCCUUCCAAAUGCACACACGCAGCCACCACCCCACCUUAAUUGCUAUAACUGAGAGGCGUGUCAUAUCCCUCAAGAGUGUUAGAACAUGGAAAAUGGUUAUUAAAUAUUAGCCAAGAGGCAGCAGACUAUUCCAGAGACUGUUGUGUACAGUCAAAAAAUAUCCCUGGACUUGUCCGUCCCUUGCUUCCUCCUAGCCGCUUCCCUGUCUCCAGAUCUCCUCCAUUUCAACCUGUUUUGUGUUUCACGGCUGUGUGCAGGCAUCACCAUGAAUCAGGUUUAGAACCUGUGCAUCACCCCAAGAUGAUCCUUCAUGCUGAUUUACUCUUAAUCUCCAUUCUCAUCUCAUCUUCAUCCCAACCCCAAGCAACCACUGAUCUAGUUUCUGUCUCUACGGCCUUGCCUUUUCUGGACAUUUCAAAUUUCAUAUUGCAAAUGGAAUCCUGAAAUAUGAGCUCUCUUGUGCCUGAGUCUUUCAUUGAUAUAAUAGCUUUGAGGUUCAUCCAGAUCCUGGCGUGUGUUAGUAGUUCAUUCCUUUUUAUUGCUGAAUUCUAUUUCAUUGCAUAGCCAUACUUCAUUUUGUCUAUACCAUAUUCACCAUUUAAAAGACAUCUAGGCUGUCUCCAAUUUGGAAGCCAUUAUGAAAAAUGCCGCUAUGAAUAUUUAUGUGCAAAUCUCUGUAUAGUUCAUUGAAUUUUCAGCCAUACCUCUUCGUUUUAUUAUUAGUGGUUGCUAGUUUACCAUAGCAAACUAUGAUCUAUAGGUCAAAAAAUUGUUCACAGCUUGUUUUCUGAAAGAAAAUAUUUAUUGAAACACAGCCCGUCAUAUGUUUACAUGUGACGGGAUGUGUUCCAAUAAACAAGUUUAUUCCAAUAAACAUGUUUACAUAUGGUCAUUUUCACAUUGCAUUAUAACAGCAGAGUUGAAUACUUGUGACAGACACACUCUGGCCUACAAAGCCUUAAAUAUUUAUUAUAUGGCUCUUUGUAGAAAAAAAAUUAUUCAUCCCUACUCUAGAGUUUAUAAUGUGCAUCUUUAACUUAUGAUAGCUUAUUUUCAAAUAAUAUACUACUCCAAAAUUAAUGUAAGAAUCAUACAAAAAUAUAAUUCUGCUUACUCCCUGCUACCCUUUGUUCUCUUAUUAUCAUAUAGUUUUAUUGCUAUUUCUGCUGCAAAUGCUGCAGUGUUUAAUAUAUAUGCAUCCUAUAGGUUAUCUUUCUCUGGAGACUCCUGACUAAUACACUUUGGAUGUUACGUGUCUUUUUCUGGCACAGCUUAUAAGAUUUCCAUCUUUGUUUCUCAAGAGUUUGAUUAUCAUAUGUCUAGUUGAGGAAGUCUUUGUUUUAUUGCUCUAGAGGUCCAUUGAGCUUCUUAUAUUUGUGAGUUGAUAUCUUUUAUCAUUUGGGGAAAGUUGUAAGUCAUUAUCUCUUCAGAUAAAUCUACUGCUUGAUUGCCUCUCUCUUAUCCUUUUAGGUCUCUAAUUACUUAUAUAUUGGCCAGUUGCUAUUGCUCCAUAUAUCUUAGAUAUUGUUUUUUUGCCUGCUAAAUUCUUUUGGUCCUUCAUUUAGUACAAUUGCUAUUGGCCUGUCUUCAAGUUUGCUCUUCCUUUCUUCUGAGUCCAGUCUGCCAUAAUUCAAAUAAAUUUUUUAGUUCUGCAUUUUUUUCCACUUUUAACAUUUUCUUCUAUAGGUUCCAUCAAAAUAACUGUUUGGGUCUUUUCAAUAAUUUUGAUCCUUUAAAAUUUUCUCAUCUAUUUACAUCGUCCAAUUUUGCCACAAGAUUCUUUAAUAUAUUUGCCACAGUUAUGUUAAAGUCUCUGUCUAAUAAUUCCAACAAUAGUACCAUCUUUAAGUCUUCCUUAUGUGACUUGUAAUUUUUGGCUCUGUGUCAGACAUUGUAUAUAAACAAACAGUAUGUAUUGAGAAAACAUUUAUCCCACCUCCCUCAAAAGGGCAUGCUCUUCUUAUUGGAAUGCAGAACUGGUCAAUUUAACCACCAUCUGAGAUGUAUCUGGGCUUUGUUACAGUUUUAACUUAAUUCAGUUCAUCACUGGCUUUAAAAAUUUUGAAGACAGGAAAAAGAAUGUAUAUAUGUGUAUGACUUCAUAACUUUGCUGUACAUCAGAAAUUGACAGAACACUGUAAAUCAACCAUAAUUAAAAAUGCUUAAAAAAAUAAAAAGCUUAAGAGACUAGCCACCAGCCCUCCAAUUCAUGAUAAUAGCUUCUUUGUGUCUCUGGGGAUUUUUAUUUGCUCUCCAAUCCCACUUCCAGAUUAUUGCACCUCAGUAGAUUGCUCUACAUCCAGCUUCCUUGCAUCUAACCUUUGGAGAAUGCUGUUGUGUACUAGACGAAUGCACCCUGAGGUGUUUUGGAGGGAUUUCUCUUAAUUCUCCCCCAUUUUCUCCUCUUUGGCAGGCCACUGCAAUAGACUUGGUGAAAGCUUGCAUUGUUUCAAAGUCACAUGACACAGCUCUCCUACCCUGUCCCCAGCUUCAGCAAGCCAUUGCCUUUCACGUGUGAAGGCCGUGGGUGCUUUUCUCAAGAGGAUUCUCUUAGCCUUGCUCUCAAACCUCAAGUGUUACGUAAGUACAUGUGGUAAGAGCAGAUAUCUUUGACUUGCUCCUUAUUUAGAAUGCAUUCUGUCUUGCGUCAUUAAGUGUGACAUUAAUAUUUAGUACUGAUGACAACAAAAUUAUUACGUCAGAAUUUGUAACAUACAUCUGAGGGAACUUAGAAGGAAAUUUACUUUGAAAACUUUUAUUAAAACAUGAAAGUUUUAAUUAGAUAACUCUUGAACUUCAGAAACCAGAAGAGACAGUCCCAACAAACAAGUCAGCAAGAGUCCAAAUACUGGAGAACCAAGAAUCAAUAAGGAGUGUACGGUUUUAUUCCGAUACCGUAUACAUGUCAUUUAUCCACAUAACACCAACCUGUUGUCCAACACAUCAGUUCAAUUCUCUCCCUAAUGAUCCAGAGUUAGCACAAACCCCACAGGUUAAAGGUUCAGUCCAACAAGACAGCCCCAUAUCACACUCUAGUCAAAAGUCUUGGGAGGCCGGCCACCUGUACUUCUGACCGACCAGCUAUAAAUGGUGGGUCCCACACCCCCUUCCUCAGGUUUUAUUAUUUAUUAGAAUGACUCACAGAACUCAAGAAAACACUUUAUCUAGUAUUGCCUGUUUAUUAUAAAGGACACGACUAAGGAAGAGCCAAAUGAUAGAGAUGCACAGGACGCAGUGUCUGGGGGGUAGUGGUGCGGAUCUUCCACAUCCAAUCUGGGUGCACCAUCCUCUUAGCACAUCAAUGUGUUCAGCCAACCCAGAAAGUCUCCAAAUCGUGUUGUUCAAGAGUCUUUAUAUCUCAAACUCUAGCCACUCUUGCCUUCCCCAGGGUUGGGAGAUAGGUCUAAAAGUUUCCCAUCUCCCCUUUAAUCUCAUGUUUGGUGUUUCUGGUGAUCAGCCUCAGCCUGAGGCUAUUUAAGGGCCCUCACAGAGUCACCUCAUUAGCAUAAACUCAGCUGUGGUCUAAAUUAGGGGCUAGUUAUGAAUAACAUAAAAAUACUCCUAUCACUCAAAAAAAAUUAGUUUUAGGAGCUCUGUGUCGAGAACCAGGAACAAAAUCCAAAUGUAUUUUUUAUUAUACCACAACGAUUAUUAAUACAACUAAAAUCUAGUCUUUGAAAAAACUGAAAAAAAAAAAACUCUUAAAUCCCGAGAGAGUCUUAAUGAACAAAAUAGAGAAUGAGAAUUAAUGUAUAUACUCCAGAAGCUGAGAGGGUGUUAUAAGACUGAUUAACAAAUUUGUAGACUAAAAGAAAAUAAACAUUUCUGGAAAAAUAGAAAAUGCCAAGUUAGCCUAGAGAGAAAAAGAAGCUCAAAAAGAGCAGUCAGCAUUAAGGAAAUUGAAACAGUAAUUAAAGACUUUCUUCUCCUUUAAAUAAGCACUGGAUUUAGAUGGUUUUACAAGUGACAGUGGUUGAACUUUUAUGGACAAGAUCAUUCAGUCUUACAAGGUUUUCCCAGGAAAUGAAGAGAAAGCCUGCAAUUCAUUCUGUGAAACCUUAUGUAUGCCAAAGCGGAUAAAGACAACACAAUAAAAGAAAAUGACAGACUCAUUUAAUUUAGUAAUAUAGAUAUGAAAAUCCUACGUGGCACAUUAGUUACCCAAACCUAACUGUGCGUAAGGUAAAUAAAAUACCUGUGUUAGCAAUCAAUGGCCAUUCAGGUUAUGAGACUCCAACUAAAUUAAGGGUUUUAUUUAAUAUCACUGCUUCAACUUAUGUGGUCUCCUGUUUGUUUUACAAGGGUCAUUUUCUUUUUUUAAAAAAAUUUUAUUGAAGUAUAGUUGAUAUACAAUGUUGUGUUAAUUUACAAGGGCUAUUUUUUAUUUCAGACACCUGACCAGGUGUACCCCCAUGAAGCGAGAGCCAUCAUGGAAUCACCUUUGCAGGUGUGCUGUUGCUGCCUCUUCUUUCAGGGUCCAUGUACUGUUUGACAGCACUCAUAAUCUCAGAUCUGAUGCCCAUUAUUUAUGAACUUUCGCAGUGACUGUGGUAUAUACAAAUUUGCCUUAUUUCCAUCAAGUUCUUUUGCCCCAUUUUUUCUUCCUGGAUUUUUUUUUCUUUUUCCCUUAAAGACUGACUCACACAAAUGCUGAGAAUCAUAUCUAAUGCAUCUUUGUGAGCAUAGUCUUAAGGGUAAGAUACGUCAUUGCUUAAAAAAAAAAAAAAAUGCCUUCGGAGUUACAGUGGGGGCUCAAGGGUUAACAAACCCAGCUAGCAUCAGUGAGGACAUGGGUUCAAUCCCUGGCCUUGCUCAGUGGGUUAAGGAUCGGCAUUGCUGUCGCUAUGGUGUAGGCCAGAAGCUACAGCCCUGAUUCAACCCCUAGCCUGGGAACCUCCAUAUGCCAUAGGGUGUGACC
rnacentral:lncRNA from 1 species